AGUCGAGGGGCAGCAUGGUCUUAGCUUGCUAAGGCUGAUGGCGACCGGCGCACGGGUGAGUAACACGUAUCCAACCUGCCGUCUACUCUUGGCCAGCCUUCUGAAAGGAAGAUUAAUCCAGGAUGGGAUCAUGAGUUCACAUGUCCGCAUGAUUAAAGGUAUUUUCCGGUAGACGAUGGGGAUGCGUUCCAUUAGAUAGUAGGCGGGGUAACGGCCCACCUAGUCAACGAUGGAUAGGGGUUCUGAGAGGAAGGUCCCCCACAUUGGAACUGAGACACGGUCCAAACUCCUACGGGAGGCAGCAGUGAGGAAUAUUGGUCAAUGGGCGAUGGCCUGAACCAGCCAAGUAGCGUGAAGGAUGACUGCCCUAUGGGUUGUAAACUUCUUUUAUAAAGGAAUAAAGUCGGGUAUGCAUACCCGUUUGCAUGUACUUUAUGAAUAAGGAUCGGCUAACUCCGUGCCAGCAGCCGCGGUAAUACGGAGGAUCUGAGCGUUAUCCGGAUUUAUUGGGUUUAAAGGGAGCGUAGAUGGAUGUUUAAGUCAGUUGUGAAAGUUUGCGGCUCAACCGUAAAAUUGCAGUUGAUACUGGAUGUCUUGAGUGCAGUUGAGGCAGGCGGAAUUCGUGGUGUAGCGGUGAAAUGCUUAGAUAUCACGAAGAACUCCGAUUGCGAAGGCAGCCUGCUAAGCUGCAACUGACAUUGAGGCUCGAAAGUGUGGGUAUCAAACAGGAUUAGAUACCCUGGUAGUCCACACGGUAAACGAUGAAUACUCGCUGUUUGCGAUAUACGGCAAGCGGCCAAGCGAAAGCGUUAAGUAUUCCACCUGGGGAGUACGCCGGCAACGGUGAAACUCAA
rnacentral:rRNA from 1 species